UACGUAGGGUGCAAGCGUUAAUCGGAAUUACUGGGCGUAAAGCGUGCGCAGGCGGUGAUGUAAGACAGAUGUGAAAUCCCCGGGCUUAACCUGGGAAUGGCAUUUGGGACUGCAAGGCUGGAGUGUGGCAGAGGAGACUGGAAUUCCUGGUGUAGCAGUGAAAUGCGUAGAUAUCAGGAGGAAUACCGAUGGCGAAGGCAGGUCUCUGGGCUGACACUGACGCUCAUGCACGAAAGCGUGGGGAGCAAACAGG
rnacentral:rRNA from 1 species